AAAAAAUUCUAUCAGAAAUUCCAUGUAGAAUUGCUUCUUUUUUUAAACACAGAGUUUGAACAACUGACUCUUCACGGACGCAACCUUCCUUCUCUUGUCUGUGUGAUAACAGGCAAAGGGCCUCUGAGGGAGUAUUACAGCCGCCUCAUCCACCAGAAGCAUUUCCAGCACAUCCAGGUCUGCACCCACUGGCUGGAGGGCCGAGGACUACCCCCGCUUCUAGGUGAGAGGCCAGCAGGAGGCUCAGGGAGGAGGCGGGGACUUAAGCAGGGGUAACAGGCAUGGGCAUGAUGUACUUUUUCUGAAAAGGUGGCUCUGGAGGCCACUUGGGGACAGGACUUGGGCUCUGGCUUAACUCCCAGGAGGAGGCUACUUCCUGGUGUGCCAGCCCCUCCCUGCCAGGUGGCCCCAGAGGCCCUUUACCAAGGGGUUUGAGGAGGCCACGUCCUUUCAGCCUGCCAUGCCCUCCAUUCAGUCCUCUUCCUUCCUGCAGGAGGCCUGGGCCUGGGGUUGGGGCCACUGUUGCCCAGGUGUGGGAGGGCAGUGGCUUUGGGAGGGGGUCGGGGGUCGCUUGGCCUCUGUGUGUCCUACUGUCUUUGUCGGUGAGAUGGGACAAUGACAGCACACCCUCACAGGUGCUGGGGGCUGACAAAUGUCAGGUCUGAGGACAGUGGGUGGCCCACUACGGGGCCAGUUCCCCUUCUCUAUAGUCACCCUGCUCGUCUUCCAUCAACUGGGUGCUCAAGACAGUGGAGUGGAGGAUCCGCCUGUACAGCCUGUGCUCCAGCGUCAUGCAGGCCACAGCUCUGUCCAGCCCUGACCCCGACUGCCCCUCCUGCCACCUCCAUUUUAUAGAUGAGGAAACCGAGGCCCAAGGGCUUAGGGAACCCUGCUCUGAAGCACACAGUAGGGCUGCUGGGCUCAGACCCUCCCUCCCUGUGCUGAGCUACCCUCCUCCUGCUGCAAGCCCCCAAUGCCCCGAGCCCACCCUGCUCACCGGCCUCUGCCCGAGUUCCCCUCAUGGUGUCGGAGUGUGGGGCAUCCUAGCUCUUCCCUGGUGCCCAGCUCUUUCACUUCCACUGGAGUCCUGCAGUGACAGCUCAGGGACAUACAGGCCCAGGCUGGGGUGGGGGCUCACCUAGCUCGGUGGUGAACAGCUGGCACGUCUCUCAAUUGCGGACAGCGAAGGCCACGUAGACCUCAGAAGCCCGCUGGUGCUCCCGGCAGGCAGCCAGCCUCCGCAGGACCCUGACCAGUGACACAAUGGCUUCUGGGCAAUACAGCACAU
rnacentral:lncRNA from 1 species